GAUGAACGCUGGCGGCGUGCUUAACACAUGCAAGUCGAGCGAGAAGUUUUGAAAAGAUUCUUCGGAUGAAAUUUAAAAUGGAAAGCGGCGGACGGGUGAGUAACGCGUAGGCAACCUGCCCCAUACAAAGGGAUAGCAUUUGGAAACGAAUAUUAAUACCUUAUGAAACUUAACUAGUGCAUGCUAGGUAGGUCAAAGAUUUAUCGGUAUGGGAUGGGCCUGCGUCUGAUUAGCUAGUUGGUGAGGUAACGGCUCACCAAGGCGACGAUCAGUAGCCGACCUGAGAGGGUGAACGGCCACAUUGGAACUGAGACACGGUCCAAACUCCUACGGGAGGCAGCAGUGGGGAAUAUUGCACAAUGGGGGAAACCCUGAUGCAGCAACGCCGCGUGAACGAUGAAGGCCUUUGGGUCGUAAAGUUCUGUUCUAGGUGAUGAAAACUGACAGUAACCUAGGAGAAAGCCCCGGCUAACUCCGCG
rnacentral:rRNA from 1 species